UACGAAGGGUGCAAGCGUUACUCGGAAUUACCGGGCGUAAAGCGUGCGUAGGCGGUUUGUUAAGUCCGUUGUGAAAGCCCUGGGCUCAACCUGGGAAUUGCAGUGGAUACUGGCGAGCUAGAGUGCGGUAGAGGAUGGUGGAAUUCCCGGUGUAGCGGUGAAAUGCGUAGAGAUCGGGAGGAACACCCGUGGCGAAGGCGGCCAUCUGGACCAGCACUGACGCUGAGGCACGAAAGCGUGGGGAGCAAACAGG
rnacentral:rRNA from 1 species